rnacentral:misc_RNA from 1 species
AAACGCGAUAAUUAAUAUAAAUUACAAAAUUCAAUAAAUCAUCAAAUCUUUGAACGCACAUUACGCCCAUUGGUAUUCCUUUAAACAUGUCUAUUUAAACAUCAUUACAACCCUCAACUAACCACUGUUUUUGAACCUAAACAAGUAACACCGCACCGAUUUUAAAAUUAUAAGCUCUACUAACUACUCUACCCAACCAGAACAUAAUAAACACUACUUAUCCAGGUAAAACUGAACAAUACGACCUAAACAAAACCUACCCACUCUCAAAGUUUGACCUCAGAUUAAACAAAGAUACCCGCUAAACUUAAGC